rnacentral:tRNA from 1 species
ACUAUUUUGGCAGAUAAGUGUAAUGGUUUUAGAAGUCAUAAAUAUAUAAUUAUAUUAUAUAAGUAGUA